rnacentral:rRNA from 1 species
UACGAAGGGGGCUAGCGUUGUUCGGAAUUACUGGGCGUAAAGCGUGCGCAGGCGGCUUCUCAAGUCAGGGGUGAAAGCCCAGAGCUCAACUCUGGAACUGCCUUUGAGACUGAGAGGCUUGAGUACGGGAGAGGUGAGUGGAACUGCGAGUGUAGAGGUGAAAUUCGUAGAUAUUCGCAAGAACACCAGUGGCGAAGGCGGCUCACUGGCUCGGUACUGACGCUGAGGUGCGAAAGCGUGGGGAGCAAACAGG